CUUGCCUGCGGCACGGCAGCGCUUGCUCUUUUCUUGCGUCGUAGCUCUGCUGUUCCUCGGUAUUCGGCCCCAGGCUUCAGGACGGCGACGCGAACGUCGUUAUUCCAUGUGACGAUAUAAAGAACUUGAGCGCAGUUGGACUUACGGACUUCAACGCCAACCGUUCGUUCGACGUGUGGUGGAAGGACACCCAUCUGGCUAUUUUCGGACCCAAAUCAUGAAGAUGUAUGGCUUCUUUGGGCACUAUGUGGACACAACCUGCACUGACGAGACAACGCGCAAGGUUCGCAAGGCAAGGAUGAACAAGCUUCUGGCUAGGAAGAUUCCUGAUUUAAAUUGAGAGGUUUGCGUGAAUGUGAGAUUUGUAUGAAUGGGAGAAUAAACUGUAUUAUCUU